rnacentral:rRNA from 1 species
UACGUAGGUGGCAAGCGUUGUCCGGAUUUACUGGGCGUAAAGGGCGCGUAGGCGGCCACCGCAAGUCGAUUGUGAAAUCUCCGGGCUUAACCCGGAAAGGUCAACCGAUACUGCGGGGCUAGAGUGCAGAAGGGGCAACUGGAAUUCUCGGUGUAGCGGUGAAAUGCGUAGAUAUCGAGAGGAACACCUGCGGCGAAGGCGGGUUGCUGGGCUGACACUGACGCUGAAGUGCGAAAGCUAGGGGAGCGAACGGG